AUCAUACCAUAUUAGAGACAAUAUGGAAGAUCUGGAUUCAGUUUGACUGUGUGUGCGCGUAUCUGCAUGCACCUACUCAGAGAUACAAAGACAAUCGCAGAUCUGGAUUCCAGCAGGAUAUUGUCCGAGAAUUCUUGCAUGAGUCUGGAGAAAUCAGUGUGGAUCCGUGCUGCAAGUGAGGCUGGAGAAGGAGCUGACAGCCUUCCCAAGCUGCAUACCAAAAUCCUCACAUGGCAAAGAGCCUUGAGACAUGCUGCGGAGAGCCGAGAGUGGCGAGGGAGCCCUGAGAACAGCUUACAGGUGGGAGAGGACAGCAGCUCCCCCUGCUCCCACCGCUCUGCUGUCGGAGGUACAGCCAAAACUCUUAACAAGGUGCCCGAGAGGUCUGGUUUUCUCUGUGCCUUCCUCGCAGAGCUUCUGUGCUGCUGCUUCCUCGCUGCUGGACUGUGCUGCACCAGAUCACACAGUAAUUGGACCCAUCUUAAAAACACACACACAAAAACAAACAGAAAACUCCAAACUGUUUUCACUUUUCACAGCGUGUAGAAAGAAAAUAGCGCAAAUACUCGCAAGGACCACACGGAUUUUAUACCCGUUUCUUUUAUGA
rnacentral:lncRNA from 1 species